GCUAGACUUCAUCGAUACAGAGAUUAUGGUUUAAAUAACUCAAAUACUUAAUUUAUUGAAAGAGAGAGAUUCCUUUACAUAAACAACUGUUGUGCCAUUAGGCUUAAUGUCAGUGAUGGGUGGAUAAAUAUCUUUUUCCUGUCGUUAACUGAUGGGAUCACUGGGUAGUCUUGGCAGAUGAUGAUGUUGACGAAACACACAACAGUCUUUAGUUCUUAUUUAGCAGUUUUUAAUCCACACCAACAUAAACAACAGAACACCAUCAAAGAAUUAUUGGCCUGUGAUGGUCUUGGAGUCUCAGCUGAAAGACCAUCGGCUGACUUCAGAUCAUGUUGCGGGAAUAUUUCAUGACUUAGGCCCUGACGAUCAAUCUCCAACUUCUGUUGAGGGAAAAACUGCUUGUACACAUUUUUCUCUGACUUUCUUAGGCUCUCUCUUCAGUUUUUCCUUUUCCAAAGUCUAUAUAUAUAUGCAUCUGCUGUGCAGAUAAGGGAUUUCCGCAGUUAAGGGGCAUAUUUAAU
rnacentral:lncRNA from 1 species